GACGAACGCUGGCGGCGUGCUUAACACAUGCAAGUCGAACGAAGAGCGACGGAAGCUUGCUUCUAUCAAUCUUAGUGGCGAACGGGUGAGUAACGCGUAAUCAACCUGCCCUUCAGAGGGGGACAACAGUUGGAAACGACUGCUAAUACCGCAUACGAUCUAAUCUCGGCAUCGAGGAUAGAUGAAAGGUGGCCUCUACAUGUAAGCUAUCACUGAAGGAGGGGAUUGCGUCUGAUUAGCUAGUUGGAGGGGUAACGGCCCACCAAGGCGAUGAUCAGUAGCCGGUCUGAGAGGAUGAACGGCCACAUUGGGACUGAGACACGGCCCAGACUCCUACGGGAGGCAGCAGUGGGGAAUCUUCCGCAAUGGACGAAAGUCUGACGGAGCAACGCCGCGUGAGUGAUGACGGCCUUCGGGUUGUAAAGCUCUGUUAAUCGGGACGAAAGGCCUUCUUGCAA
rnacentral:rRNA from 1 species